AUUGAACGCUGGCGGCAUGCUUUACACAUGCAAGUCGAACGGCAGCGCGGGCUUCGGCCUGGCGGCGAGUGGCGAACGGGUGAGUAAUGCAUCGGAACGUGCCCAGUAGUGGGGGAUAGCUCGGCGAAAGCCGGAUUAAUACCGCAUACGACCUGAGGGUGAAAGCGGGGGACCGAAAGGCCUCGCGCUAUUGGAGCGGCCGAUGUCGGAUUAGCUAGUUGGUGGGGUAAAGGCUUACCAAGGCGACGAUCCGUAGCUGGUCUGAGAGGACGACCAGCCACACUGGGACUGAGACACGGCCCAGACUCCUACGGGAGGCAGCAGUGGGGAAUUUUGGACAAUGGGGGCAACCCUGAUCCAGCAAUGCCGCGUGCGGGAAGAAGGCCUUCGGGUUGUAAACCGCUUUUGUUCGGGAAGAAAUCCUCUGGGCUAAUACCCCGGGGGGAUGACGGUACCGGAAGAAUAAGCACCGGCUAACUACGUG
rnacentral:rRNA from 1 species